CGUGCAGGUGGAUUGUUAAGUGGGAUGUGAAAUACCCGGGCUUAACCUGGGUGCUGCAUUCCAAACUGGAAGUCUAGAGUACAGGAGGGGAAAGUGGAAUUCCUAGUGUAGCGGUGAAAUGCGUAGAGAUUAGGAAGAACACCAGUGGCGAAGGCGACUUUCUGGACUGUAACUGACGCUGAGGCUCGAAAGCGUGGGGAGCAAACA
rnacentral:rRNA from 1 species